UGGGGUAUAACCUAAUGGCAGGGUAGUGGACUUUGACUCCAUAUGUAAAGGUUCGAUUCCUUUUACCCCAACCA
rnacentral:tRNA from 1 species